CGUGUUAAGGGAUGCCUUUUGCCUCCCACCGUGAUUCUGAGGCCUCCCCAACCAUGUGCAACUGCACAGGCCCAAGGUGAACAGGAAAGACGAGAGCCGCCCUGCCCGGAAACGUCCACAUGUGGGUACUGCAUCCCCACCGGUGGCUUGAGGCCCCCACGCCCGUCACAGUGGCAGGUGUAGCUCCCUGGGGAGUUCACGCAGACCUGCUCACAGCGGCCCUGCAGACACUCAUCCACAUCUGCCAGCCAGAGGGAAGCAGCAGUGAGCAGGGGAGGCCUCUACGCUGUACUGCCGCGGGAUCACACCGCGAUUGCUCAAACCACACACAAGGUCCUGCCGUCAGAGGAGAGCUCGAAGCCGCUGUGGCAGGCACAGUGGAAGCUGCCCGGCUUGUUGUGGCAGAUCUGGAGGCAGCCCCCGUUCUCCUGGCUGCAUUCGUUGACAUCUGGGAACAAGCACAGGCCUGAAAGGGAGCCCAAGGGUGCACAGCCCCUGGCUACUGAGGAGGCUGCAGGCCAGGAGUGACCUCUGGGUGCCUGAGGACAGACAAGGCCAGGCCAGAGCUGGCUACUCCUUAGCAAAGCCCUCCUAGGCCACCUGUGGGGUGGGACUUGCCAAAGGGGACAGGCUGGCCUGCUGGACUCUCCACUAUGGGUCUCCACCAGGCCCUGGAGCUAUUCUUCCUCCAGGGUCUUCACUGACACCACAGGUCUGCACUCAAGGAUGGUCAGAGGUGAAAUUUCUCCCCCGCCUUUCAAUCAGUGGGUGCUGAGGCAUCACUUGGUGUUUCCUUUUAUUCCAGCCCUGCUCCCAGAAAGGAGACCGCAGCUCCUCCCAAUUCUCCUGGGGCUCCAGGAUACCUCAGGGCUGCAGCCUCCUUGGGGCUGUCGGAGAGCAGCCUGAGGAUGGCCCAGCCCUGGAGUGGGAGUGAGGAGUGGGGAUCAGGGCAGGGUUGGAGAGGGAGGGAGACCCCGCCUUUGUCUUCAGCCUCACGUACCUUUGUCGCAGAGCCGGCCCCCCCAGCCAGCUUUACACAGGCAGAAGAAAUUGCCCAUGAGGUCCUGGCAGGCUUGGGUCCCCUUCCUAUCGCAGGGGUUGGGCGUGCACUGGUCAGGCAGGUCUGAUUGGGGACACAAAGUGGAAAAUCAUGUUCAGCUGCCCCUCUGCGCCCUAUGCAGCUGAGAUCAGGGCGGCCGUGGGGUCUCGGGUCCAGCCCGGAGGAGCUUUGAGGGGCGGAGGCUGAGGCAGGCCCCGGGCACCCGAGCCCCCUGUGCUGGCCUAGGGCUGAUACAACAGGCUGGCGGGCCCUGGGGCUGGCUCCAGGAAAACUCAGAUCAACUGGGACGGAGUGCCAGCAGGCCUGGACGCGAGGCGGGAAGGGCUGAGGGCAAAGGAGCAGGAACUGCCUGGCGUGAGGCCCGGGAGCUCAGACCUCCCAGGGAGUAGGCACACAGAACCCCCAGCUGACCUGGGGGCUUCCAGGCAGACUUAGAACAUUCUGCCUUCCCUGGCCAGCCCUAGCCCAUCUCUGGUGAACUCUCCCCGCUGGGUGUGGCAGGGAGGACCCCAGGCCCAGGCUGCACUGCCAGAGGGGUCCUCCAGAAAGCCCCCCUCUUUCUGCUUAGCUGCCCCCUCUCCACGUGUCUUGAUGGCUUUAGGCCAGGUGUGUUCUGCCCUCUCUCAGGGUGGUCACCUGGGCUCAGCUCCUGCAGGGCCAGAGAUCAGGGGGACGGGUGACGGCCUGAGGGUGGGAACCCGUCCCAGCGCAGCUGCUUCCCAAGCAGUCCCCCAUCUGAGGAGCUGCUCACAAACACGUUCAUAUGAGGAGCUGCUCACAAACACGCUUCCAGGACACGGACCGAAACCACGUCCCAGAGGCAGGCAGGGAAGCCCCCGACAGUGCACUUACGCAAGCCUGAGCCCCGGGAAGUUGGCAGAAAGAACGACAAUUACACCCGGAGCUCAAAGAAUCCUUUCAUGGCUGCUGGCUGAGCAGAAGCAGCUCGGGGCUGGGCAUGGCAGUGCCCAGGGGCGCGGUCCACACUCAGCUCAGUCCCACAUGAGGACUCAGCCACGCUCAGCUUAGCCACACACGGCUCCGUGGGGAACCCUGGGUAGGGCCCCCUGCUGGCUGAGAGAGGGCUCCUGUCCAUUGAUUCCACACAAGUUCAAUAAGGACCAGUCCCUGGGAAAAGCGCAGGCCGGGCCAGCAGGGCCCUAGGGCACUGGGCCAGCGUCGUCCUAAGGGGUCAGCUCUGGUGGGGGCACGUGGAGUCUUCAGUGCAUGGGCUCUCACUGCCAGUGUGUUGCUUCCGUUCCUGAGGCUCCCAAGGUGACGUUUCCCACCAGGUCUGUAGAAUGUGGCGUUUCCACCAGAGGGUCUGGGCUCGGCUGUCAGUGCAGGAGCCGCUUCCCUCCCCACCUGGCCAGGGUCAGCGGUGCCCGGUGCCAGGGUGAGCAGCGGGCGGGUCUGUGGUUCACGAAGCUGUGUUCGUCCAGCUCAUCCAGGGCAUACAGUCACUGCCUGUGGCCGGCACAGACACAGCCCCUGUCCUCCCAGGCAGGUCCAGGCACCGAGCUCACCAGAGGCCCCAGCUACGAGUCCCAGACUUCUUGGGGAAGCUGCCCAACCACACUGGCUUCUUCCUGCGACGCUUCGCCGUACGCCUCACAGUGUUUCCUCCGUAUGCCUCACAGUUUGCUCCGUACGCCCGUUUCCUCCAUAUGCCCUAGUUUCCUCCACAUGCCCCACAGUUUCCUCCCAACGCCCCACAGCUUCCUCCCAAUGCCCCACAGCUUCCUCUCAAUGCCCCCCAGUUUCCUCCGUACACCUCAGUUUCCUCCGCAUGCCUCACAGUUUCCUCCAACACCUCACAGUUUCCUCCGUACGCCCCAGUUUCUUCCAUACGCCCCAGUUUCCUUCAUACACCCCAGUUUCCUCCAUAUGCCUCACAGUUUCCUCCGACGCCUCAGUUUCCUCCGUAUGCCCAUUUCCUCCAUAUGCCCGUUUCCUCCAUAUGCCUCACAGUUUCCUCCAUACGCCUCAAUUUCCUCCGUACGCCCCACAGUUUCCUCCAUACGCCUCACAGUUUCCUCCAUACGCCUCAAUUUCCUUCAUACGCCUCACAGUUUCCUCCAUAGGCCUCAAUUUCCUCCAUAUGCCCCAUAGUUUCCUCCAUACGCCUCAGUUUCCUCCAUACGCCUCCAGUUUCCUCCAUACGCCUCACAGUUUCUUCCAUACGCCCCAGUUUCCUCCAUACGCCCACAGUUUCCUCCAUAUGCCUCAAUUUCCUCCAUAUGCCCCAGUUGCCUCCAUACGCCUCAGUUUCCUCCAUACCCCCAGUUUCCUCCGUAUGCCCACAGUUUCCUCCAUACGCCUCACAGUUUCCUCCAUACGCCUCAGUUUCCUCCAUAUGCGUCAGUUUCCUCCGUAUGCCCCACAGUUUCCUCCAUACGCCUCAGUUUCCUCCGUAUGCCUCAGUUUCCUCCGUAAGCCUCAGUUUCCUCUGUCUGCCUCACAGUUUCCUCUAUAAGCCUCAGUUUCCUCCGUACACCCCACAGUUUCCUCCCUACACCUCCAGUUUGCUUGUUUUGCACAAAUGACUGACAACUGAACGCUUGUGGGUGUGGACGGAGCUCGCGUCUGGAAGUGUUUCUAAGAUGCUAUUUUCAGCAGAUCGCUAUAAACGCUUUCUACUCUGAAGCACACAGGGGCUGGGGCUGGCCUUCGGAGUUACGAGGAAACGAGGACCAGGACCAGGGAUUCUGCAUCAGCACAGCUGCCAGGAGCCAGCCGGGGCCCCAUCCCUGACACUGCUGUCGCCGGGCUGUACCUGGGUGCUGUGUCCGCGGGGCGUCCGGAGAUGUCGACGUGGUCACAGCAGGGCCUGGAACAGGGAGGUCUGGCCUGGACUAGAGAAACGAGGGGUGCAUCCGCUUCUCCACCCUGGCCUCAGAUGAAGAGGCUCUGGGGGCAGGAGGGAGUCAGACACGGGCAGGGCAGGCGGCCUGUGCAGGGCCCAACCCUCCGGCACUGGAACCUGACCCCCUCAGAGGCCCCCACCGUGGAGGGAUGUCUAGGGGAUGCUGUGCGCUGCCGCUACGAUGUUUGGUUAGAGAUUAAAGCCAUUUCAGAAGUGGACACCUGCCCGCAAAGGGCUGGGAACCCGGUCUUGACUUUGCCUGGAAUGCCCUUUGGAAAGACCUCUGUCCCUGAGGCUGAGGGACAGUGCCUGCUCCUGCCAGGUGCCCAGCUCUUAAGCGGUUCCCAGUCUCAUGCCGCCUGCCCCGGGGCCUCCCCCAACUCAUUUGUUUAUUUCCCUGUUGGGAAUGUAUUGAUACCUCCAGGGUGCAAGGACGGAACCACACCUGAGGGGUGGACACUCAGCUGGUGCCCAGCAAAUAUCUGUGGAAUUUCCUCCACACAACAGGGAAAGUGAUGGAGACAGAAACCUCUGCAGGCCCCCGAGGGCACCCACCUCUCUGACCCCCAUCCCGCAAGCUGGGCCUAGGGCAUCGGUGGCCUGUGGUCAUGCCCUGGGUGCCAGCGCCUGUGGAGAGUUCAGGAGGCGAAGGGUUUAUCUCAGCUCGGCCCAUGACUGUGUUGAAGGACGGGAGGGAGUGGCCGUGGCUGUGGCUGGAAUCUGAAGCUGGUGUGGGCGGCCAGGGCCCUUCCCUGGGUGGUGACGAGCGAGGACCAGAGCCCUGUCCGCCCGAGGGAAGGGCGAGGGGACACUUCCCGUGGCGGGGGUGGGAUCCUGGUAGCCGGGGCUCAGUGACCGCUGCCUGGGCCACCGCCUAUGGGGACCUGACCUUCCUGGGGAAACCCAUGGGUCAAAGGAGCUGAGAAAUCCAAGCACCAAGUGGCCGCUAGGGCAGGACGGGCGCGUUCGCAGUGGAGAAGCUGGAUGUGUCCGUGGGAAAGGAAAGAAAUGGAAGCAGAGGCUCAUCAGGGGCACCUGGAAACGCAGCCUACACUCUUCCCAGGCCUCCUCCCUCCGUCCACUGUGCCGCCUGGGUCCUGGGACAGCCCGAGGGCCACAGGCUCCCAUGCAAGACCCGCUGGGGGCCUGCUUGUCUGGGGCUGAAUUUGGACUUCAUGGGGCUAUGGCUUUAAUGUCACAAUAACCGAUAACCAGUGAACUGAAGCCAGGACAGCACCGCGAGCACCAAGUCAGAGCAUUUUCACGAGGGAACAGGAACAGAGUGCGAGGCUGCCCCCGCCGCGUCCUCCGGGAGGCGCCUUCCCAGGGGAGUGCAAGGCUGCCUGCUGUGACCAGGCCACCAAAGCACCUUCUUCACCGCCAGGCAUCUUUUGAGGCACACGAACAUCAGAGGCCCCAGCUACAUGCUCUGGAGGAGAAGCUGAGAGCCCCAGGCCACAGGCAGGGCAGCCUCCAAGGGCCGGCUCAGGGAGAGUGGCCAGAGCUUCUGGCCUGGGGCAGGUGGACCCGUUAGAAACUGCAUGUGUUGCCUCUGGCACCAGCCACAGCAAGAGAUUCUCUUCCUAUCACACAGGGAACAAACUCAAGUAUCUUGACCCUGCCCUCCUCUCCCCAGCUGGCCGCACUUGGGGACGCUGAUGCCACAAAGGAAAUAAUAAACCAAAACAAGAUAACGCUAUUGGGCAGUGGGAACAGAAAGGAACACGUAGCAAUCACUCCUCUUCAUCCAUGCAAGCAAGCGAGGCGAUGCCAUGAAAAGGACGGCCUUCUUUGCUGCAAAUAGCCAGAAGUGAACUUAGCAAAGGAAGCACGGGACGCACAGGAAGAAAAGUGCUCCAAGGGACGGACAGGAUGGUGCCGGGGUUAGGAAAGCGCAACGCUGUUCAGACACAGUCUCCGAUAUAUGAAUGGCAAGCCCAGUUAAAAAUAUCCAAAGGGCUUUUUUAGGUUUUUAAGAAUAUUCUUAAGGUUUAUUUUAUUGAAAAAUAAGCAAGACAACCAGAAAAAAGACUGAGGAGGGCAUAGGAGACCCACCCGCAUGCAUGAGGCCGAGUCUAAAGCUGUGGCCACAGCCUGUGGAAACCCGGCAGAAAAUCUCCCAAAUACCCAUAUGAGGACGGCAGCAGGCGAGGCACUGGGGUGAGACAGACUCAAAUGUGUGGUGUUGGGACAGGCGAGGCACUGGGGUGAGAUAAACUCAAACGUGUGGUGUUGGGGCAGGAACUGUGCCUGCAGUCUAGAUCCCCACCUCGUCCAUCAUGUCAAAAGAAAUUACAGGCGGGUCACAGAUGAAAACAUCUAACAGCAGGUAACUGUUUUGUAAUCUUGGGGAGAAGCCUAAAGCCCAGGAACUAAGAGAAUAUAACAAGUGUGAACACAGAAUUUAAAAGAAGAGAUUGGUCUAGCAAUCACUAAGAUAAAACACGUGUGGCAGGAUCUGCUUGUCUCCUCUGAGCGCACAGGAGCCUCUGCCCCAAAUGCAGACAUUGGGCCCUACGUGGCACCAGGCUACUGUGCAUGGUUGCAGGUCAGGGCGGGCCGGGCCACAGGGCAGGGCCACCCUCCCAUUCCCAUGUUUACACUGAGCAUUUCCUCUGCCUGUGGCCCUUGGGCUGGGGUCUGUGAUCCAAGUCUGGGAGGCCUAGGGACGCCCACGGACAGCACGUGGGGCUUGGGGAGUGGGACUGAGCCAUCUCUGACUCCUUCUGCUGACUGGGAUCCAGUUCCAAAGCCAUGCCUGGGAAGAGACUCCUGCCUCUCCCAGCAUGACUCUGUACCGCCACGCCUCCGCUCUCGGCCCCCACAGGCACUCACCAAGGUGGCCUUUCAUCUAAAACUAGACACACGUGACGCCAGGGGACCACAGACCCAGUGUGAGGGGACCUGUGUGGGUUGUGCUGCAGGUAUGUUAAAAUUCACACAGGACACCCAAAACAAUCAAUCUUAUUGUAUGAUAAUUUUAAAAUAAUAAAAAAGACUUGUGGCAAGCUGAAAAAAUUUUUGACAAUUUUUGACAACAUUGGAAUUAGCCAUUCCAAUGGCUAAUUUGCAAACUCCUACAAAUUGAGAAAAAUAGGCAAAAAAUAUAAACAACAGUUUAUAGGAAAAGAAAUACACAGUUUUUAAACCUAUGAAGCACAGCUUUACUCAUUAGUU
rnacentral:antisense_RNA from 1 species